rnacentral:rRNA from 1 species
UACGUAGGGCGCAAGCGUUAUCCGGAAUUAUUGGGCGUAAAGAGCUCGUAGGCGGUUUGUCGCGUCUGCUGUGAAAGACCGGGGCUCAACUCCGGUUCUGCAGUGGGUACGGGCAGACUAGAGUGAUGUAGGGGAGACUGGAAUUCCUGGUGUAGCGGUGAAAUGCGCAGAUAUCAGGAGGAACACCGGUGGCGAAGGCGGGUCUCUGGGCAGUAACUGACGCUGAGGAGCGAAAGCGUGGGGAGCGAACAGG